rnacentral:tRNA from 1 species
CGUGUGGCGCAGUGGAUCAGCGCGUCUGUCUUCGGAACAGAAGGUCCUGGGUUCGACCCCCA